rnacentral:lncRNA from 1 species
GAAAUAAAUGAAGAAACAAAAAUUUAAGAUUUAUGUGGUUUGACAAUUUUCUACAUCCAUGCGGAGAGCGAGAGAGAUAUAUUCCACUAUAUGAAGAAAUAAAAAAAAAGUACAAGCUUAAAGCUUAUAUUUUCUCUAGAUAAAAAAAAAUUAGGAGCCUUUUGGUGAUUCCCACUUUUCUCUUAUUCCAACAAAAACUCCUCCAAAUAUCAAAUAUCUCAUCUCAGCCCAAAACGAGCAGUUUUGGUUGCUCAGAACCCAUAUCCAGGCAUUCGAAACCUUUCAAACAGUGUCCUUCGGGUGCUUCCUCUCGCUGCCUUUCAUCAGUCCAAAUCUGGCAGUAAUUGCGCCCGGACCAAUUCGGUCGUCCGGAACCUGCGCUCGAAACCGUGCUGAGUCACCUGUACAUGUAUACCCUAUCACCUGUCAAAUCACUGUGCUUAACUUUUGGGCCGCUACAGUGCCGAAUUCGGAUAGCCCAAAGGAGGGUCCUGAAUCACCAAAAUCCACUCCUCACAAUGUCUUGGCACCCUAUACCACUUUCAGGCAUCAGUAAAUGCAUAUAUCAAUAUGGUUUGAAUUGAUUUCAAUUUUUGAGUCCGUUUUCGUGUUAUAUUUUGCACCAAAAUAGCUCCAACUCAAUCUAGCAUUCUAAAAACAUGCGGACUAGCAAUACAUACUGCAACCUUGUCUAUUUGCGAAGGUUCAAUGAUCAAAAUAUAUGCUAUGAUUUUAUUUGUAUCAUAAUUAAUGACAUUGCUCUACUAUCUAUAAACUUAUCUAUAAAUUUAUAUAUUAAUCCUCGUGGAAAAGUCCACGUGUCAAAUUUUACUUUACUUAAGCCUUAUAGAUGUGGGAACCACCUUAUGUUUAUUAUCUGCCUCAUACUUAAUUAAUAGAAGUGUGAAUCCACCCCACAACGAAACGAUGCCGAGCGAAACAGUGGCAUCGUUUCCAACUCCGACUCUUUGUAGCCCUCACCCUCAUCUCACCCUUCGGUUCACCGAAACCCUAAUUGUGAUCCUAGAUUUCUCGCCUUCGCCACCUCUCCUACUUGGAUAGGAGCCUUCGUCUCUGCCUCUGCAUCCUCACCUCCUCUGCCUUCGCGGUGCUAUCAGAGGCUGUCGAAAAGUCGAAAAGGCCAAGAGAGACAGUGGAUAAGGAGAAGAAGAAGAAGAGGAAGGCGAGGGGAAGGUCACAGAAGGGGCAAGGGGAGGGGACAAAAGGACUAUGCUUGGUCUCCAAACACAGCCUCCUCCUCCCACUGCACGAGCUAUAGACACUUGGCAGCCUUCGGCUCAACACUUGCAUCGGAAUUCAGUACCUAUCUUCGUGGCUCACGAUGACCGGUUUGAUACCGCUGUACAACCUCAUGGAGGACAUCGCGACGACAGAUAUCAAUAUGGUGCAGAACAGACAGUGGAUUAGAUAUGGAGUUUAUGUGGAUGCGAACCAUUGUGCUCUGUCAAAAUGUUAGGCUCCUCCGUCGCCUUCGAUGCCGCGCUUUUGAGGCUUCAAUAGAUAUUGCGACUCUCCGAAUUCUUCUCCAAACUUUAAGAUAAUUGCUCCUUUCCCAUUUCUCUCUCUCUAUAAUCUAUGUUAUAAUAUGUUUUAGUCAAUUAAGGUUUCAGGACUUGGGUCUUUGGCAUUAGAUUUUUCUAUUAUGGUUUGUAUUAGAUUUAUUGCUAGGAUUCUAAUCCUCCAUUGAAAGUGAUUAUGCUUAAGUUUUUUUUGUGAAUUUUGUGUCACGCCCUGGAUUACCGCGUUUCCCUGGGCACGCCAACAGACCUGCCUGCUGGAUUUGUGCUUAACGAUGAAGGUGUGUAUAACCUCCACUCUAUGAGGCUCAUUUGCUAUUUUGGGGACAGUAAGACCGGCUGGGAGAGGGGCCGUAUAAGCACAGUCGAUGUCAUUUAGAGCAAUAGAGUGAGCGGAAGCAGUGAGACUACGAGGCACUUAUUCGAUGCAGUGAGACUAUGAGGCACAUAGGAAUUUUUCGUGUAUACAAAGCGAUAGCUGUACCUGUAAUCACAACAUAACUACAACCAAUAGUAUAGAGCUGCUAAACUAAAAAAAUAGAGAUAUAUAUAAAACCACGAGGGGUUCCUGUACAUACAAAAUGUCUACAACCCAACUCGCUCCAACGAGUACAACGACAACAUCGCAGUAUGUACAAAGAAAGCCCAAAACUACCUCUAAAUAGGUGCUCCUCUAACUGGCAACGAUACUGGUAGGGAUCUAGCUCACGACUCCCUUCCCACGGUCCGAAUCAGCGACGGCAACAGCCACGGACGAAGGCUCUACAAAAAGGGGUCAACAACUGGGUGUGAAAACUACUGCAAAACAGAGUAGUUCUUAGUGGGUACCGUCAUCGACCUCAACGGCCCACCCACUAAGUCUACAGAAAUAUGCGCAAAGGAUAGCAAGGAAAGCUGAAAAAACUCUACAGCUACAUGCCACUAUACUAUCGCUAACCAACAUAGGCUAUCUGUAGAUAUGAAAGAUGCCUCACUCUGACCCAAUCUCACCUGGGACUGCGAUACGCUCGUCCCGUCUGUCGAAACAACCCCGUACACCACCCCAAGAGUAGCCUGUGGAGAAAACUCUCUAGGGAUUGCAAUACGCCCGUUUCGCCUGUUUAGGCUACACCAUACCCCAAGAGUAGCCGGUGGAGAAAACUCUCUAGGGACUGCGAUACACUCGUCCCGCCUGUCUAAGCUACACCGUACCCCAAGAGUAGCCGGUGGAGAAAAUUCUCUAGGGAUUGCGAUACGCUUGUCCUGCCUGCCUAGGCUACAUCGUACACCUCCUCGAGAGUAGCCGAUCGAAGUAAAAAGGUCCGACAGGACUGCUGCGACUCAACACACAUCACAACCUCACUGAGGGUAGAGAAAGGCGUCACUAACUACCACUGACCCAACCUCACACGGGCUGCUCAAACGGACGCACCCUAACUGUAUCCAGCUCAAGAACCGUCCAAACAAAAACUGUGACCUCAUCGCACUGAAACCUCAUUCCGGAAUGGCAUUCGUGGGUGCGAUCCAACCGAAUUUACAAAUGUGUCUUUGCCUAGUUCAAUCAGGCUCUCACAGGCUGUAAUCACUAUAACUGGGUCAAACUAAUCUAUCCACCAAAACUCACGUGCUCUUGGUACAAUCUGAUGCAAAAUGUAGAAAUCUGGGUCCACCGUCAACCCCGACGGCACCCAACAGUACGAAACAGUUUACACACUAUUGUAAAACAAGCUCGGCCUCCCAGCACGAGCGUAAACUCACCCUACACUAAUCUGGGUAUCCACCUUGUACUAACAGCGGUGAUACAGAAAUCUCGGUCCACCGUCAAACACGACGGCACCUGACAGUCCAAACGCUACUGUACAACAAGCACGGCCCAUCAGCACGAGCAUAAUGUCAGCCUACUCUAAGCUGAGUAUCUACUACGCACUAACAGCGGUGAUACAAAAGUACAUCAGCUCCUGAAGCUAAAUCUAUUAACUUUUCGAAAAGUGAAGUGUGUAGGUUCUUAAUGUUUUCUCCUAAGUCAAGUCCCAGUUCAUCAUGCAACAUUUAUCUAAAAUUAUCAUAUGAAGCAACAAAUUUAGAUUUCAUAUUACGGCAUGCAAAUCUACCAAUUUCAGCUACUAACAUGAUGAUUGAAGGAUAACAAUACAUGCUAAAAACUACAUAGUACUUAGGAGGAAUUCCGGUGAAUUCAAUGACUUCAACCCACCUAGUAUGCAAAUCCGACCACAGAUUAAAGCGAAACUCAGCGGUCACGUGCCUUCAGUCCCGAAUCACCAACAAGUAUAAGAAAAUCCCACAAAUCCCUGUUGGAUCGAACUGAAUUAAAAAUCGAAUCACAAAUCCAUCAAAUGUCUAUCCGGUUCGAAAAAAUUGAAAUUCAGCGUUACUCACCUCAAACCAAUAGUUGCAACUUGAUUCGCAAGUUCCUCUCUACCUCAGGAACACCCUAGAAGCAUCCAAUUGCAGCAAUAAGGUCCAAAUCAAAACUAAUUUCCAAAACUAGUUGCUGCUGUCCCUACUCCAAGGCUGCUGCUGCUGCUAUCUCAAAGUUGCUGCUGGCUUCUAAGUUGCCAGCACUAAGUUGCACUUCAUUCUUGCUCCGCCAACCAACCAACAGCAAAAUUGGGAAUUGGAACUUGUUCACAAGUAAUCUUAGGCCUUUCCUCUAUAAGAAAAAUCUAUAUUUCCCCAAAAAUUCCAUUACAAAUGAAAGAUAAAGAUCAAAAUUUCAGCAUCGACGAAAACAGUUUUCUCAGUCUUCGACCUCAACAAAAAAAUGAAUUCCUCAUUCAUUUUACCUCCAAAUUGAUCGAAACAAGAUUCUAUGCAGUAGAGGAUGAAGUGAAGAUCACUUGCAAUCUUUUCAAAGCUCACUCCUAUAGAAAUUUUGAACGAACUUAAACGGGUUCCAACAAUGGACGAAAUCAGCCUGAAAUUUCAGUAUUGAACCAACUUUGAUCAACUUUAAAAUUAAAGCCACUAACCUCCCAUUUCAGCUCAAACAAGAUAAAAACGGACUCCCAACUUCCCCCUACACCAUUACCUGUGUUUAAUUUCGAAGUUGGAGCCCCAGCAAUCACCCAAUUGCAUUCAUUCUUCAAGUUGGUCCAGAUGGUGCUCUCAAACAGCCUCAAUCAAGUUUCCGUCAGCAGGGAAAGAUGGUAAAUUCACAAACCAUCCAUGAUUUCGCCUAGAACUCCACUCACCAAGUAACCAACUAGUUACUCCUUGAAUUCUUGUCCUCAAUAAGAACACCCUCCCACAGCAGGAACUUGCAACUAAAACUUCAAUUAGUCACUAGGAUCCUACUAAUGCUGUAUUUGUUGUUUGAGUGCUGCUUGUCACGGACAAAAUAUUUUCCGCUAACUUUUCCUUGACAGUGGCCCAACUUCGCUAGCGGAGCGGGUUGGACAAUGGCCCAUUCUCCGAAGGAGCGGUCUGUCGGAGGUUUUGCUGCGGCGUUCUAAAAACUUAUACGCGGAUCUCAAGACUAAUGGUGCGGAUGCCGAAGUGUCAAGAGUCCCUUAGAGUUUCUAGGUGGGCAAUAAGUGGUCUCUUGGGAGACCGUAGCCUAGCUCUUUGUCAUGUAGUUAUGCGCCAUUUGGCGCCUUUUCAUUGUAGCUUGGGUGGCGAGUGGCCUAUAUAAGGAUGUGGCCUCCGCCCCCUCUCAUUAGAGCCAAGGAAGGAAAUCAGUUGUACUCUCAACUUCUAUCAAUAUACAACAUUCCUCAAACUCUCUCUCUCUCUCUUGUAUUUAGUCUAUGGCGAGUAGGUCCUAACUUAGCGAGUAGAGAGGUAGGCUUGCCCAUCUUCGAGUAGGAAGGCGGGCGCCGCACGGGCUUUGCGAACAGAACCGGUAAGUCCGUGACAGUUGGUAUCAGAGCCGGUUCGAGAAGGAACCAUGUCGUCUUCAGAUGCUGCUGUUGUCGACGUAACUGUUGAGCCUUCUAAGCAUACCAAGCGCGACAAGAGCAAGAAGCCGCUGCAGACUCUAGUGAGAGAGUCCGUUCGCUUGACGACCGCGUAGGCGUGCUGAAGGACUCUGCUGCCAAAGCGGAGGAGCGCUACUCCGUCCUAUCCCAACAUGUGGGGAUGAUGGAGAAUGGGCUGCAUGCCAUGGAGGACAGCGUUGCGGUUGCCAUGGCGACUUUCCGUCAUCAACUCGAGGAGUUCCGCAAAGACCUCACCCGUCGCAAGGACAAGCGGAAGGUGCUGGUGAAGGAUCUCGUCACCAGGGGUGACGAGGUCGAGGACCUCAAGAUGCGGGUGACUAUCCUUGAGAAGGCGGUAGCUCGAGGCGUCGAGACGCAGAAGGAGUACACCCAAGGAUCCGCGUCCCUGAAACCCAAUGCUUCAAGGGCACGCGCGAUGAGAAGGAGAUAGACAAUUUUCUUUGGCACAUGGAGCGCUAUCUCAAGGCGCUGCGGUUGGAGGACGAGGAUGAUAAGGUCCAAACCGCUUCCAUGUACCUUGCCGACAAUGCGAUGCUGUGGUGGCGACGGCGUUCCGCAGAGGCCGCAAAGGGCCAAUGCGAAUUGAAGACUUGGGAGGACUUCGUGCGCGAACUAAAGGCACAGUUCAACCCAGAGCAUGUCAAAUAUCUUGCGCGGAGGCAACUUCGACGGCUCAAACAUCGGAGCACACUCAAGGAGUAUGUCCAGGAGUACUCGAAACUCGUGCCGGCGAUCUCCAACAUGGCCGAUGAGGAUCGGCUAUACUUCUUCCUAGAUGGCCUUCAGUCGUGGGCAAAUAAGGAGCUCGUGGCGCGAGAUGUGAAGGACUUGAACUUCGCGAUUGCUUUGGCGGAGAAGUUGCCCGAGCGGGAGCGAACCGAGGGCGAUCGAGGUGAACCACCAAAGGCGAUCGAGGCCAAUGGUGGUGGAGGGCACCGCAAUCCAGGGGGCGCCAAGGGGCACAAGCCAAACCAUGAUGCAAGAAAGCAAUGACAGAAUCCCGCCCCGCCACCUGCAAAGAUCUCUUGCUAUGUUUGCGGCGAGACCAUUGGGCGUGGGACUGCCGAAAGAGGGGCAACCACAAAGGUAAGCAGGUUGCUGCGGUCCAAGCCAUUGAGGGCGAGGACGACGACAUGGUCUAGCUGCCAAGGAUGGGCACGCUAAGGCUCGUCAACGCAGUUCGCGAUUAGCCAAGUGGCGACAAGCUCCGAAAGAGGGAGCUUAUGUUCAUCAAUGUGAUCCUCAACGGGAGGACCACGCGGGUGAUGAUCGACACCGGUGCGACGUACAACUUUGUUGCGGAGGCGGAGGCCAAGCGGUUGGACCUCACAGUCGAGAAGGAUGCGAGUCGCAUCAAAGCGGUCAACUCUGAGCCGUGGCCAAUCGCAGGAGUUGCCAAGAGCGUGGAGAUAGCCAUCGGCCUGUGGAGAGGCAAGGCCAAUCUCACUGAUGGGCUGCUCGACGACUUUGGAGUGAUCCUCGGGAUGGACUUCCUUAUUUCGUCGAAGGCGGCGCCUAUGCCACACUUGUGGGUGCUGAGCAUCAUGGACGAGUCAGCAUCAUGCAUGGUUCCGAUGUGUCGGGAUGAGCCGACGAAGGACCUAACUCUAAUAGCCCUGCAACUUUGCCAAGAGGUGAAGUGCGAGAAGACUGAGGAACUUGAGGAGGAGGACCUGAGCAGCGGCGAGACUGUCAAGUCUUAUGUGGCGCUGAAACAGUCAGCGCCCGAUCAAGGUACAAGUUAUUCUGUCAAGCAGCUGUCCGAGGGGACCAGGGGGCGUUCUGCGGCUUAGCGGAGUGCUGUCGCGGAGGACAUGCACAUUUGGUGGAUUCUUCGCAUAGCGGGUUCGCUGGUGCACAUGCUCAGAGGGGCAAGACACUAGGUGUUGGCGUGGGGACAGAUGCAGACUGCAGAAGGAAGGCACGGGGCCGAUCGCAAGUGAAGGUACGACGGACCGCGCGGAAGGCUAUGCGAACAGGGAAUGACUCGGCGCGCGACGAGGGCGUCUGCACGUUAGGUGGGGGAGGUUGUCACGGACAAAAUGUUUUCCGCUGACUUCUCCUUGACAGUGGCCCAACUUCGCUAGCAGAGCGGGUUGGACAGUGGCCCAUUCUUCGAAGGAGCAUUCUGUCGGAGGUUUUGCCGGGGCGUUCUGGAAGCUUCUAUGCGGAUCUCAAGACUAAUGGUGCGAAUGCCGAAGGGUCAAGAGUCCUUUAGAGUUUCUAGAUGGGCAAUAAGUGUAGUCUCUUGGGAGAUCGUAGCCUAUCUCUUUGUCUUGUAGUUAUGCGCCAUUUGGCGCCUUUUUAUUUGUAGCUUGGGUGGCGAGUGGCCUAUGUAAGGAUGUGGCCUCCACCCCCUUUCAUUAGAGUCAAGGAAGGAAAUCAGUUGUACUCUCAACUUUUAUCAAUAUACAACAUUCCUCAAACUCUCUCUCUCUCUUGUACUUAGUCUAGGGCGAGUAGGUCCUAGCUUAGCAAGUAGAGAGGUAGGCUUGCCCAUCUUCGAGCAAAAAGGCGGGCGCUGCACAGGCUUUGCGAACAAAACCACUAAGUCCGUGACAGUUCUAGCAAGCUACGCAGGGAAGAACCGGCAGGGAGGAAGGAGAAAUUAAGAGAAAAAGAAACAGAAGAACGAGAAAAAGAAUAGAGUUGAUGGGAAAAGUGAGUUGCAUGGAGGAGAAUAAAGUCCACACUCAGCCACACACUACCAACCAACAUCCUGAGUUUGGGGUGGUUGGGAUUUUGAUACCAUGUGCCUUAGGCACAAGGUAGUAAGGUUACCCAACAGGAAGUUGAUUGGCAUAUCGAUCUAAUUUUGACGUCUACGGCCCAACACUUUCCCAACGUGUCGACUGAAGCACAGACCGUAAUCAUUCCAAAAAAAAUAAUAAGUUAAUAUUUUUUUGAAACAUUACAUUUUGCCUUUUUUGUCAUAAAUUGGGUGAUAUGAGAAUAGAGAGAAAGGAAUAGGCGAGUUUAGAGAAGAUGAUGUUGAUCAAGCCAACAUGGGGAAACAUAAGGAUCGGUAUGUCGUUUAUGGUGGCUCUGAAAAGAUAUAAGAUGGUGAUCUCCAUGCCGUCGUACACGAGCCUCGAGAGAAAGGUCAAUCAUAAGGGUGUAUGGCACAAAUUUGAUAUUGAAUGUCCUUACCAAAGGAUGGGCGGAACCGUGAAGAAAGAAUAUAAACUCAUUCUAUAUAGGUAAUAUUUUUUGUGUUAGUUUCCUCUCCUUCCUCGACUCCCCUAUUAUAAUGACACCAUCGCCGCAUGGGGUUCACCGAAAAGUUGCUUAGCCUUGCCGACUGCUGCCACCCGAUAAACGUCCCCAUGAACAUCACUCGCCGAGUGCUUAUAGCGGUCUCAGUAAUCUAAAUUUAACGACCUAUUUUUUUUCUAUAACUUAAGUUAGUAAAUUCGAUUUUGAUGAUUUAGAAACAAAUAAUAGAGAUAAUUUUCUUUGAAAACUUAAACGGUUUAUAUUUAAAACUUUACGGCACGANCUCAGCGCCUUCUACAUGGUUAAAAAAAAAAAAAAGUUGGACCGGGUGCACUGCAUGUCUGGGCGGUGUUUAAGUUUCAAGGAGAUAAGUGAGCCCGUCUCAGAGGAAACAUAAACGUGCCGCAUGGUUGCCUAUGUUGUCCUAGUGUUGGUGUUGGAUGUAAAUGGUUAGUCGUUGGUUAAGUACUAUACAUAAAGGUAUGUCGAUUGUUAGGAAUCUUACUACGUACGGAGAUUCGUGAGGAAUCCGCAACCUACUACGUUACGUGUUAUGUUGUUUGUAAGAUAAAUUUUCACGAGGGGUGGGCCUUCGAAAACAAAAAUUGAGAUUAAGUUAGUAAGUAUUUUGGUAAGUUUUUAGAAAACUUUUGACAAAAGGUGUGCUUUUGAUGAGUUUUAAAAAAUGGUAAUGGCUUUUAAAUCGGCCCCGGGGCGUGACAUCCUCUUCCUCCAUCUCCUCCUCCGUCGGUGCCGGCGGCCCUUGGCAACAGUAACAAGGUCGGCGCCGAUCCUCCUCCUCCACCUCCGUCUUCGCCGCCGCUAGAGAAGAAGAAAGAGAACUCGGAGUAGGCCCGAGUGAGGGCGGAGCAGACAGAGGCGAUGAGGUUGUUGCCGAGGAGGUGCUCACCGCUCGUGAGGGUAAGGAAAACGGUGUAAGGAAAGAAGAUGCACCUAUCUCCAAGGAACGAACAAAUAUGCAAAGGGUAGAAAAAAAACAAGAAUAAAAAAUAAAAUAAUAAAAAAAUUCUCUUUGAAAGAGCAUUAUAUAUUGUUGCUGCUACCGAAAAGUCUAAAAAUUAGAGAAAAAGAAAGAAGAAGAUGAAUGUUGCACUGUUAACAAGAAAAUUGCACUGUUUAAUAUGAACGUUGCACUUUGUGAGAUUAAAAUUACACUGUUUAAAAUAAAAGUUGCACUAUUUGGACAAAAAUUAUACUAUUUCAAAAAAAAUUGUACUAUUCUCCGGCCCUCAUCGCCUCAUCUUCUUCUUUUCUUCCUCUUUCUUUGACCCCUUCCUCCUCUUCCCUCUCCCCUUCCGACCCUUAUCCUCACCAGCGCGAGCCUCUCUACCCCGCAUGCCGCAUCGGAGCGCCGAAACACGAAAACGACCUACCUCUCUCUUUUUUUUUUGUUCCUUUGUUAUUUUUUUUUUUCUCUCUGACGCUUAUCGCCUCCUUCACCGUAUCCUCGGUCCUUGGCGACAGUAACGAGGGCGGUGACACCUCCUCUUCCUCUGCCUGUGUAGUACACUGAACUUUAGCAAAUUGCCAGGUUCUAGUGUAAUAAUAGUAUUUAGAACUAUUCUAACUAUUUUGUGGGUUGUUGGUAGUGUACCAACACAUAACUUAAGCUCUCUGAGUGCGAGAACGGGUUACUAGCACUAAAAUCUACAAAUUGCAGGUUUUGAGUGCUGCGUAUCGGCCUUGAGUGGGGUACCGGAACUCUGUAGAGUGCCAGAAUGUGUUGCUCUUGGGUUUGAGGAGCUGGGCAGUGAGUACCGGUACUGGACGGUGAGUACCGGUACUGGACUGAGUACUGGGUGGAGUACAAGUACUGCAUCAGGUGGGUACCAGUACACUGUAAAAAAUCCGAUUAUCUAGCGCUCGGGUUUUGAGAGGCUAAGUACUGGGUACCGGUACUCCAAUUCGAGUACCGAUAUUCAAUGCUGCAGAUGGUAUGUGUGUAUAAGUGGGGUGUCACAUUUGGUAUCAGAGCCAAUUACCAGCCAGAAGUGUGAGAUGAGUCUCAGCUGAACCAGGUUAUACAACGGGGAGAGCGAGGCUCUCAUGCUCUUGACUGUUGUGGGUGGAGCGCGGCUCUCCCACAAGGUCGGUUUAGGCUAGAGAGACGAGUCUCACAUUGCUUGGUACUUGUGAUUCUGAGUCUGACGAGGACGUUAGUGCUUAAAGAGGCAGAGAAUGUGAGACCCCAGAUAGUUCUCUAUAUGGCAGUUCUCUAUAUAUGAUAUAAUAGGGUUAAUACCUUAACCCGGAUAUAGCCUUUUGAGCGGUAGCUAGGUCCAAGAGGUUAAGAGAGUUAAGCGUGCUAGGACUACAGUAGUCCUAGGAUGGGUGACCCUCUGGGAAGUAGGGCGUCACGUAAAACAUUCAAAAUUUUAUUUGAACUAUGAACUAUUUUGAAUUGACUAUCUGUCACGCCCCGAGCUCCGCCUAUUUGGUCGGAUUCGGGCAUGCCAACAGACCGCCGAACGGAUAGGGUUUCCCCUGUACCACGGAUAGAGUUUUUCCUGUACUGCGGACAGAGUUUCCCCUGUACGUCCAAGGCGUCACAAUCCAUACAAUACGCGAGGUUCCAACCAGGAACAGUAUUCAAUCAAGGAUUGCGUAAGGAAGUAUCAAAAACAUAAAUACAACUAUGCUAUUACAAGCAUUCAUUCCAGGUUUUACAUAUUACAAUUUGAUUUACAUUUAACUUCCAAAUACAAUCAGGUUAUUACAAAACUAUUACAAGUUUGUUUCUUUCAUCUCUAUACCCCUAAGCUAGACCACCUCGGGGUACUGCUAUCUCUGGUCAGAAUGGUAGGGCGCUAGCUAUGGAGCUACGCCCUUUCCUCGCGCCGCCGUGCCGCUCACGCGUGAACCUGAAAUCCCCCAAAACAACGUGGGGUGAGAACUAUAUAAAUAUAGUUCCCAGUGGGUACGGCCACCUAAGGUAAGAGCUCGACCCACCAGGUCCAAAGGAGGCACUGCCAACAUGUUAGUCCAGAAAAUAUCCACAUAUAUAUCAUUAUAUGUUUUAUGUAACUAACAGUUAUCAUGUUCAUGCCUCUCAACAUGCAACAAUGCAAAUCAUGCAACUCAACAUGCAUCAAUGUAAGUCAUGGAACUCAACGUGCAAUAAUGUAAGUAGAUCUACUAAUUCUACUUCUAUCUCGCUAUCCACAGCUCGUCCAACUGACUUCUAAGAUUUCCUCUAUCUUAGAUUCAUAUCAUUCACAAUUUGCUCAUAAGGUUUCAUCUACCUUUACCAAACUAUCCACCCGACUCGGUCUUGAGUCAAUCAUCUGCGGAGUAAUCGCGUACAGCCAGGCUCGAGGUGAAGGACAUCUCAUAUGCAUCUCAGCCUUAAAUCCACUGAACUGGGAUGCCAACUGGGAUGCAAAUUCACUCUACUAGGAUUCAUCCAUAGCUCAUAAUGCAUGUCACCUAAUCUCACUGGUUAACCGAAAGGUUAAGCCCCGACUCAUAGUGCAAUCCCAUAGGUGAGGAAACCCUCCCGCUCGCACACCGAGACCGUCUGCUGGGUAAGUGGAUCGUUAACUCAUCGUGUGAAGACUCCGGAGCUCACUGCUUGGGUGGAGCGACCACGCCAAGCGAGAACAGACUAUGUGAGUAUGAUCCAAUCCUCUCCAACUGAGUAUACCCUACCAACUAGGGAUACAACAAACUCGAAAAAUCCACCAAUCCCAACAUUCAUGUCACAAGUGUCUCUACUACACUAGUUCCAAAUGCCACUCGAUCUACAACUCAAAAAAUCAUCUAUCCCUAUAGUCAUCAUGUCAUAAGUGUCUCUACCACACUAGUUUCACAUGCCACAUUUUCUACUUGUCAUCCUAGUUAUCCACACCUAGGAUUAUAGUUCAUAUGUCCUUAUUUUGAUAUCGAGUUCUCUAAUCAACCUAGAGUUUAUCGACCCAAAGUAAACAUUCAUAUGAAUUUAGCACAUUCUACAACAUGUCAACAUGCAUAUCUCAACUAGUAUAAUCCACAACAUGAACAUGCAUAUACCAUCUAGUGUAUAUAUAUCCACAUGCACAUUUCAUCUAGCAUGCUCUCAUAAUGUUCACAUGCAUAUUUCAUCUAACAUAAUCCACAAUAUGUCAACAUGCAUAUGUUUAGUCAUCCAAUGAUAGUCCAUGCAUAGCAUCUAUUUCAUGCAUUCAUCUAGCAUUUAUAUCAUGUAUUCAUAUGUUUUGCAAUUAACUACCAUUAUAUGCAUCAAUGAUAAAUAACAUUCACUUCGACAUGGAAGUGAGCUAAUCUCUUCGGUGAGCACAACCCAUCUCGUAACGCUCUCCGAUUGCUUGUCGACACUUGCAACCGGCCUCCUGCGGUACUCGUUGUUCGGUUCGGCUCGAACUUGCAAUCGAUCACCAGCCACAUGUCAAUCCGCGACCUAGGGUCUUCAAGGGCCUCUCUCUAACCUCCAAUUAGAGAAACCAAGGGUUAAUUUAGACCAAAACCCUUAAACCCCAAAACACUCAUCGCUAACCCUAGCAUGGCAUAAUCUCCAAUUAACCCAAAAAUCUCAUGGAGAAAACAUGCUAACAAUACAUUAGAGGCUACUAGAACACUAAGUAUUAAGGAUUUAACCAAAAUCCUAACACUUACCAAAUUGCAAACUCCGAGUCGAAAGCACGCCGCUCAACUGGACGUACGAAGACUCGAUCCGUCGCUCCACACGCGUUCCCAAGCCCGCUCGCCGCCAAGCCUCUGAAUGUGGGAGAGAGAGAUAAAGAGAGUAGGGAAAUAUCUAGAGAGAGAAAGGGAGGGUUUCUCUCUCCCUCUCCAUGUACGUGUGUGUGUUGUGUUUGGCUGAGGAGGAAGGAGGAAGAAGAAGGAAAGGGGAAAAACCCAUUUUUAUAAGCCAACACCCCUCAACAUUAACACAAUUUUCAGUUUAGCAGUUCAGAAUCUGAAGUUCUUCGCCGGAGCCCUUCUGAAUGUCCGUUUGCGCUCAAAUUUGACAGUUAGGCUCGGUUUAACUUAACAAGAAAAACGAAAUCUUAACUUCUCAGUUUCAAACCAUUUUUUGUCACCGAAAACUCUACCGACUAAAAUUUCUAGUAGAUAGCAGUCGGAUUUUAUUUUAUACUUUCCUGGUAUUGGAAUGACAUGAAAUUUUAAAUCUUGCAUCAUAAAAAUAAUUUCGACAUAUUCUCCAAUUUUCAUAAUUUUCUGACACUGUGAAUUUUCUGCUAAAAGGUCAACCCCGUUUCUUACAGAAAAUAGUAUCUUACACUAUUUUUAUUUAUAUUUACCUUUAUAUUAAAAUCCGGUGCAUCACACUAUCCGACCUUUCAAAAUUUUGAUUUUACGAUCCAACCUUUUAAUUUAUUUGAUUUGACUUAGUCAAUAGCAUUUUGAUUAUAAAAUUUAAAUAUGACCUUUAUCUUUAUGUUUAGUUAUUAUACUUCAUGCAAUUUUCAUAAUUGUAAAUAUAAUAAUGUGAGCAACUACUUAAAUUUUAAAGUCAAAGUGUUGUUGUAAUAUCUGAGAUUUGAAUAAAACGAAAUUUGAAAUUUGAAUUUGAAUUUAAGUAUAUAUAUAUAUAUAUANUCUCUCUCUCUCUCUCUCUCUCUCUAUAUAUAUAUAUAUAUAGUUCGGCUACUAUACAUACAAUUAUGAGUACGAUCGCCCUCGUACUCAUAAGUUGUUUUCGAUGAUAGAGCUCCCGAAUCGUCGAUCCACACCGUUAAACAUUAUCUAGCGUAUUUAAAACGUCUAGAAAUCAAAUUUUAUAAUUUUUCGUCAUCAUUUACCUUACGAUCAAAAGGUCACAAAAUUGACAAUUUUUAACGGUCGGUAUGGCAUAUUUGCUAGUUUAACGGUGUAAAAGAAUCGAAAUCGGUUGAAUUUUUGAUAGAAAAUUUUAUUCACUACAUAAAUAAAGAUCAAUAACUCCGAUCUUAAAUUGAAGGAUCCGAUCAUCCAUUUUUAAGAUGUCGUUCGAUUUUGACCGUUCAUUUUAUACCCGCUUGAUGGACUUUUUUAUGAUUUCGAAAAAUUACGAAAUUUAUUUUCUAGAAGUUUGAAUACUCUAGAUCAUAUUUAACGGAGUGGAUCGUGAAAGCUCCAUCAUUGAAAACAACUUAUGAGUACGAAGGGCCCAAUACUCAUAAGAGUAUAGUAGCCCUACUCUCUCUCUCUCUCUCUAUAUAUAUAUAUAUAUGUGUGUGUGUGUGUGUGUGUGUGUGUGUGUGUGUGUGUGCGCGUGCAUGUGUGUGUGUGUAUAUAUAUAUAUAUAUGGUGGUAUUGAGAGCAGAGGAGUUUCGUCGCAGAUCGGCGACCAAAUCUGGCGAAACAAAAUAGUAGUUUCGAUGCCCCUGUCGUGCUGAAUGCGAUGGCGCAGUUCGAUCAAAAAUCCGACGAACGGAUCUCUGGGAAUCUCAUAAUGUUCGCUGAGGAGUCGAAAGUGGCAAAACGGAAAAUUCGCGAAAAGCCUUAUAUUUUAUGUACCGUUUUGCACGAUUUUGAAUGUGGAGGUGCGUAUGCGCAAAAUACAUGCGCUGUGAGGGACUUGCCUGAAAAUAUUCAGCUCUGGAGGACAAUAUUGCAAUUUGGCCAAUAUAUAUAUAUUUGCAUCUUGGGUUUUCCAUGCUAACCUUAACCCUAGUAUACACCUUCUACCGUAGCUGCGCCCCCAACAGCCUCCACCACCCUCCCCUGCCCUCGCCACGCUGUCACGGGUCUAAUGACUUUUGUCAAAAAGCCCGCGCGGUGCUCGUUCGUCACCUACACAAACGAGCCAGCCAAUUCGUCUCGAGGUACAACUUCGCAAAUUGGCAACGACCGAGAAUUGAGAUAAAGCACGUAAGGGGGUCCUACAAAUUGGCACAAACAACGAGUAUUUUAUUGAUAACGAAAAUUUGGACUACAAGCGAAAGGCACACGACUCAACUCAGUCGGGCAUGGCCGAUGAGGGCAAAAUGAUCACCAAGACACUCCGCAUCUAGCGAAGCCGGCUCACUUAAUACGUCUCACCCAACCUUCCCGUACUACCCUAUAUUGGCAUCUACCCAUUUGGCACCCCGGGGGUACAAAGGUGCUCACCAAGGGGUACGUUUUUCCCACUCCGCACACCCAUGGGAAAAUAGGUCGCCGACCCAUGUCCGACAUGAGUCCGGCUCAAUCCGUCGCUGUCACGCCUCGGGGUCCCAUUUUAGUUUUAAAAGCAAAACGGAAAUGCCCAAAAAAAAAUUUUCUUGAAAACCUGACCCCCAGGGUAUGCCAGAUCCGCCACAAGUACAGGAAAUCACUGUUCACACGGACAGUGUCUUCCCUGUAUUUGCACAGCGUCGCACAAGUACAAGAUACAAUUUUUAACUAACCAAAUACAACCACAAAGAUGAACAUCCACAGAUUCAUACAUCAUUCACAGAAUCUCAUUUAUCCAAUUGAAUGAAAGUCAACUGAACCAUAAAGUUUAAGUUAUAUAUUUUGAAUAAGCAAGGAUAGAAACUAGACCGAAGGUCACCGGGCCGGAAACUUUAUCGACCGCUACGAACGUGUCUCACGUAUCGUCUCAACCCUCACCACCCGCAAUACCUAAAAAAUGGUUGGGGGGGUGAGAACAUGUAACCAUGUCUCCCCUCCCAGCGGGUACCGCAAGCAGACGAAGGCGAGGAGUACUCACCGGCAGAAAGAGAUCAACAAAGUCAUAAGUAGAUAUCACAAAUACAGUAGCUAUAAUACCGGAAGGAAUGGAAACAAUAAUAGAACAUGUAACUACCGCUACUGCAAAAUAGAACAGAAUGCAUACAUGGAUAUCGUAACUACAGUAACAAUGAUGCAUGGGUAAAUAACAAUAUAUAGGAAUAUGACUAGCCGCUACUGUAAUACAGAACAAAGUAUAAGUAUGCAUCAACUGGACGAUCAGUCCCAAAAAUACCCAAUCAGAAACUUGGCAUGACGGUCCGCAGACCUCAAGCCUGUGCUCACUGCCACUCUACCUGUAUAUGACCCAGACUAGGCCUCUGGGCUCACAGGCUGCAUAUAACCCAGACUAGGCCUCUGGGCUCACGGGUUGGCACAUCGAACCACUUUUCCGGAAAAGAACACCCUCUGUGGUGGAUCAGACCGCUGGUGAUCGUGAAAUGCAAACAAGUCUCGGGCGAUCGAUGCUGAUAUGCUCAAUAGCCAACCGUCGGCAACUAGCCGACAAUCCUAUCUCUCAGGGUAUACUGACCAAUAGGUCAUCGAACUGUAAAGAACACAAGUACCGACCACUCAGGUCAACUAGAUGGAACAACUCAACAUCCCUUCGAAGAUAUGCAAGUAUCGACUACUCAAUGUCAACUAACAUCUAUAUACACAAGAACCGACCAAUAGGUCACAAGGAUGUCACAUCAUACAUCGGUAUAAUCCAGAACUAACUGUAAGUUUUGGGGUGUCCAAGGAUCUAUCUAGAUUAUAUCUAAAACCUAGAGGGGGGUGAAUAGGUGUAAUAGCCAAAAACUAUAAAUCUCGAUGCGAUAAAAAUAAAUGCGAAAAAUAAAAAUCACACCGAAAUUUACGUGGGAAAACUCCAACUUGGAGAAAAACCUACGAGACCAACACGCGAAAAAAUAGUUCACUAAGAGAAAAGAUUACAAGGUGAUUACCAACUCCACGGACUCGACCUCUCUUAACCUCUUAUGAAUCUCGCGCAAUCCUCCGGGUUGUCCAUGCCCCCACGUUCGAAUCCACGAACGCCUCUGUAGCACACUGGACCUUUGUAAAUUGCGAGGUUCGAGUGUUCGAUUUGUAUUCCGAACUUCUCCACACUUGGUGGAGGGCCGUCGAUGGUAUACCGGCCUAAAAGUUCGAUCUCGAGAGUUUUGGCAGAGUCCUGAGAGUUUUUACUCUCGGGGACCGGUCCCUGAUAGGAGAGACCGGUCCCCCAGUGAACAGUGCUGCGCAGCCGGCGAGGCAACCGGUCCCUGGCAGUCGAGACCGGUCCACGAGCGCGUCUGCGCGGGGAGAGACCGGUCCCGCGCAGGGAGAGACCGGUUCCCGAACGUUGAAUUUUCGGGGACAGGCUGAGAGACCGGUCCCAAGUCGGGGAGACCGGUCCCUCUGGGCGAAAACUGCCCAGACCGGGCUGAUGUGAUUUUGGAUUUUUAAGGGGCUUAUCAGGAUUUUGUUACUUUAGAGCCUAUAGAGAGCCUUUCUUCUCUCUCUUUCCCUCAUUUCUCUCAAUCCUUUGCAUUCUAGAGAGAGAAGAAGAGAGGGAGAAGAAGAAGAAGAAGAAGGAGAGGAGAAGGAGCUUGCUUGGAGGCUUUGGAGCAUCAUCUUCUUCCCCAUUUCUCACUUUGGUGGCUUCGAGCUUGUGGUUGGAGCUUUGUGGAGGAUCAAUCUUCAACCCUAGAAGAUUUUGAGCUUGGAUUGGAUCAUCCUAGAGGUAAGUGGCAAGGUUCCUUCCUCUAGAUCUUAGUUUUGGGGCUUUUGCUUGUUUAAACCCUAGAUUUUGGAUUUUAGGGUUAGAUUUGGGGAUUCUUGAUUUGAGGCUUCUUGAUCUCAUUUGAAAGGUUUGGAACCUUUAUAUAGGUUAGAUUGGAAGACCUCUACCUCCCAUUUGAAGAUUAAGAGAGGGUUUUUCACUUGAGGUGAGUUUUUCCCAACCCUAUCUUAAGUUGGUUAAUGAUUGAACUUAGCGUCAUUCGUUUCGACUAGAUGACACUUGUUUUCAUACCUUUAGGGUACUAGGAGUGUGGUGGACGCCUUCGUCGUGGCAAACGAAAGCUUUCGUUGACGACGGUGGGUUUGGCUUCGUGGAAAUGGGGCGAAAUGGCCCCUAUGCUCUUUCUAUUUGUUGUAAAAUAUUUUUUUUAAAUUCAUUCCUAUGCUAAAUGGAAUUUAUAUGAAUUUUAGAGCACUUCGAAUGCAUGCCUUGUGUAUUAUGAAAAUUUCACUAUAUAGUAGAGCUAUAUGAGUAGAAUGCAUGCAUAUGGAAAAAGUGUUAUUUGCAAGUGAAAAAUACAUCACUUAUGAGGAUUAUGAUUUGGAAUAUGUACUUUGGAACAUAGUUGCCAUGCUCUGGCAUAGAGAACAAGGGUGUCAUCAAGGGGCACUUGAAACUAGUAAACUAUGAAACUGCAACAUAGAGACAUAUUGAUAGGCCACUACAUAUCUGCUAUAUUCCAUGUUAGAGACAUGAUGACAUAGGGAUAGGCCAUUGAGAUACUUGACACAUUCCAUGUUAUUAGACAUGAGGACUUGGUACUUGCGACAGAUCGUUUGACUACUUGCCAUUGUGCUCAUUCGCACAUGCUUGUGAGGGUCGCUCCCUACAAGCCGGCACUCCGGAGAUAGCCAUCGCGAUUCAUAUUCGCCGUGCGGGAUUGGGCGCCGAAGUGGAUUGCCGUGGGACAGGCUCAUUCCUAGGGUGGGGAUGAUGACUACCACGGGGCCAUUAGGCUCGGCACCGGCCAGACAGCCUACGGGUGGGUCUCAGGGCCAUAGACAGCCUUCGGGUGGGUCUCUUCAGAUUUGACUUUGAGUAUUCAUUAUGACAUGUGGACAGAUGAUGACUUAGUGUACUACUUGGACAUUGACUAGAAUAGUAAACAACGGAACUUUACUAUUUCGCAUUGUGAACAUUAUGAUAGUUGGAGACUUUUACUUCAUGCAUAGUUGCUUCAUACUUAUGCUAUUUAUGCUAAGUAGAGAUAUCAUGUUGUAGUAAGUUACAUUUUUACUUACCUUUCGCUUUUCUACUUUUAUAGUCACUGACAUGUUUUGUAGAUUUGGGCCUCGUGGUGCAUUCACUGAAGUCAGUAAUUGUCCACUGGGAACUAUUUUUAAUAGUUCUCACACCCCUGUUUUAUGGUUUACUUUUCAGAGCCUUCGGCACCGGCGGAGGCACGGGAUCGUGGCAAUGGGAUCGCUUAGCUAGCUAGCGAGGAGCGGUACUUUGCCUAGAUGGUUUACUCUUUCUUUUGUAGUUGAGAGAGUGAGAGGUUUUUGUAUCCAUGUAUAGAGACCACCUAUGUAUCUACCUAUAGCACUUGUAUCUGGGACUUCCUUGUAUCACUUUAUAUUUUAUUUAGUGGAUUUACAGUUUUAUCCUUAUCCCUGGUUGUAGCAUUUAGACAUUUAUUAUGCUUUGAUACUCCUAGAUGUCUUUUAUUAUUGCUUUUAUUAUUGUUGUUUUUAGACGCUUUAUACGUUUUAGACGUAUGGCGGGUCUGGGCACGCGCCGGGCGGGCUUCCGCUGGGUCCCGGGGCGUGACAGCCUUGCACACGUCUAAAUCCACGAACGCCACUCGAAUCCACGAGCCCACAAUCCGAAUCCACGAACCGCCUUCAAUCACGCUGAAUCCACGACGCCAUCCAUGAAAAACAUCAUGCUAUGGUGAUCCUUCGCUUAAAGUGUUGUAGAAAACCAGAGAAGAAAACUCCAAGCGAAGUGUAGAUCAAAUCGACAUAUUGAUAUCAAAUUACAAUCUCUCGAUUUCACCUAAAAGAGGCUAUUUUGUGGAAAAUAGGUUUUGGACGAAAUCCUAGCCUGUAGGGUUUCUCAAAUAUGUAUUCUCAUGAUGCUUAAUCUGUUAGAGAAUCCCAAUAGCUUAUUUAUAGACUUUAGAAUCAAUUAGACUCGGAUUAGAAAGUUUUUCGGAUUUUUACAUUGUGUACCGGUACACUUUCAAGCUGUUACCGGUUACACGAUGACGGAACGAAAAACCUGCAAAAUAGUGUAACAGGUGACAGGUCGCUGGUUGUACCAAAACACAAUAUGUACCGGUACACUUUCAAUGCUGUACCGGUACACUUUGCAAUUUUUAGUUUUUUUGCAAAGUUUCGGGUUUCGCAAAGUUCCAAUGCACUUUCUGAUCCAGUAAACAUUGAUUUUAUGAUUCUAAUGCCUACAGCUAAGUAUGAAUCACCCUAACAUGAAUUACAAAUUUUACCUGAGCAUCGUGGUUCACGUCGUGAGUUAUUUUCCGAUUUCUUCGAAAUCUUGGAUUCUUCGAUCUUUGACAUUACGCACUGAUCCUUCAAGACUCCGACUCAAUCCACGAAACUUGCCAACACACAAGACUUAGCAAUUUCGUGACAAAACUCACAACAACUCAACAAUUACAUCUUAAAGAAAAACGAAGUUCAAUAUCAUCACCAAAACAUCGAACUUCUCGCAUGUAGUCCAAAUACAACUUGAAACUCAAAAGUACAUUAUAAACUCCUAAAACAGACUCUAUGACUUAGACGCAACUAGGAGUCUUGAAGUUUUGAUUUCCUGCAAAAACAAACUAACCAAAAUGAUAUAGAAAGUUGAGACCACUGGACAUUCUUACAUUCAAUUCAUUGUUCUUAUUGUUCUUGAUCACUUCUCCCCCUUUGUUCUUAUCUCCCUUCUUCUCCUCGAAAUUUCACUCCUUUUCCCCCUUUGUUCUUGAAAGAUAUGGAUCCCGAGGAUCUAAAAGGUAAAUAACACCUAGAGGGGGGUGAAUAGGUGUAAAAUGGCAAAAACAAAAGCUCUCGAUGCAAAUAAAAGAGAUAGCGGAAAAUAAAAACAGCACACCGAGAUUUUAACGUGGGAAAACUCCAAUCUGGAGUGAAAAACCCACGGGACCGAUCACGCGAAGAAAAUCCACUAAGAAAACUUGAGUACAAGUGAUUUUAACCAAAAUACAUGACUCAAUUUACCGAAUUCCCGUUGUUGAUGGUCUUCGCCGGUCCUAGAUCGAUAGGAAUCCUCCGAUCGACCUCGCCGCAACUCCUUGCUGCGUCAACGCCUCAACUCCUCGAAGCGUCCACCGAAUCCUCGGCUUCACGCGAGUCCACGCGCCGAACCUCCUUUCGGAGUUUGCAGAAUUGAUGAUUUGUGGUGAUUAAGACUUAGAAUACCAUAAGCAAUGAGGGUUCACCUUCUAAUCAAACAUCUACUCGAUUCUCGAAAAAGAUAUCGAGUUAGAUCGAAGAAUCAAGUCGAUCGUUGAAACUUGUUAUAAGAAUAGAAUCAUAUAAAUGUGAAAACAAGUUUCUAGGAUUUUAGAUCAGUAGAAAUUCAAAGCCUUAACCCAUAUGACGACCCCCAUGGCUUAUUUAUAGGUUUAGAAGACUUAGAAGUAGACUAGGAUUACAAAAAGUCUAUUUAAAAAAACUGGUGUCGUCCUCAGGGACCAGUCCUCUUGAGGAGACCGCUCUCGAGUGAGAGAUCGGUCCCUCGCUGCGUGACAGAAAACACACCGUUCGGUUCGGGAACGGUCUCUCAUGCCAGAGACCGGUCCCUCGCUGCGUGACAAAAAAUCCCAUGUUCGGGAACCAGUCUCCCUUUCCAGAGACCGAUUGCCUCAACAUCCCACGCAGUGAGGACCUUCGGGGACCAGUCUCUCAACUCUGGGACCGGUCCCAGAACACUGAAAAGUUCAGUAUAAGCUUUAUAAUGCAAUCUAAGUCUUCUGAACUUAUUGUAAUUAAAUAAAUUCACCACAAAUGAUCUAUUCUAUAUACCUGAGGUGUCGAGCUUCUCCAAAUGAGUUUUUGCUCUUCAAAUUGAAUCUUCUCUUCAAACUACCGCGAUCAACUCUUCAAGACUCCAUUCGACUUUACGAAAUCCGCCAACCUAGAAAAUCCUUAACAAUCUCCCCCUUUGGCGAUUUCGUGACAAAAUAUAUUACAAUGCUCGUACACAACUCAGAAACAAUAAAAAGAAGAUCAUCGCAAUCACCAAACGACAAUCUCCUCCUGCAUGAUCGAUCCAAUAAAAGAAAAAAUUACACUUUUCUCACAUUCCUAAUACAAACUCUAUGACUUAAACAUGGAGUCUUGAAGUCUUGAACAUUCCUGCAAAAACACUCUUAAAACACAAUC